CAUUGCCGGGGUCAGUUUUUCAUCUAACCCGUUUUUUAUCGAAAUCUUAACUUUAUUUUCCAUCUCUCCUUCAUUUCUUUUUCUUUCCCUCUUUCUUUCUUUUCUUUCUUUCUUAUCUUUCUUUCUUGCUUUCUUUUCUUUUCUUUCCUUUCUUUUCUUUUCUUUUCUUUCCUUUCUUUUCUUUCUUUCUUUCUUUCUUUCUUUCUUUCUUUCCUUGCUGCAGCUGCUGCUGCUAAUUGCACUGCUGCUGCUGCCUGCACUGCUGCUGCUGCUGCUCAGCUGAUGCUGAGCUGCUGCUGCCACUGCUGCUGCUGCUGCUA
rnacentral:lncRNA from 1 species